rnacentral:rRNA from 2 species
UAGGGAAUCUUCGGCAAUGGACGAAAGUCUGACCGAGCAACGCCGCGUGAGUGAAGAAGGUUUUCGGAUCGUAAAACUCUGUUGUUAGAGAAGAACAAGGACGUUAGUAACUGAACGUCCCCUGACGGUAUCUAACCAGAAAGCCACGGCUAACCACGUGCCAGCAGCCGCGGUAAUACGUAGGUGGCAAGCGUUGUCCGGAUUUAUUGGGCGUAAAGCGAGCGCAGGCGGUUUCUUAAGUCUGAUGUGAAAGCCCCCGGCUCAACCGGGGAGGGUCAUUGGAAACUGGGAGACUUGAGUGCAGAAGAGGAGAGUGGAAUUCCAUGUGUAGCGGUGAAAUGCGUAGAUAUAUGGAGGAACACCAGUGGCGAAGGCGGCUCUCUGGUCUGUAACUGACGCUGAGGCUCGAAAGCGUGGGGAGCAAACAGG